rnacentral:lncRNA from 1 species
GUGAUUCCUUUCAGUUUUCUUCUGAGUUGUUCUGAGGCCUCCUCUAUUGCCAAACCACGGAUUAGACAUGAAAAACAAAACAAAUAAUCGUUGUAGUUUCUAGUUUUUUUUUUGUUUUGUUUACUUUUGUUUUUUCUUUGCCACCUAAUACAUAUCAUGGAUCUAUCUAGCUACUUGUAAUAUCUUCCAGCCAAAAGUAAUAAUAUAUAUGUAAAUAGGUGAAACAAUAACUUCGCUCUGCAAAUACAGAAAUCAGAUAUGUUGAUUCUUAAUACAUUCUUCGUGUUUAUGUGCUAAUAUUUUUGUCUAUUCACAUUUUUAGCUUUUGCCGUCUUUAUGGAGGUAUCUUUUAUUUAAAUUUGAGGAUUUUAAGUGGGAUAUAGUAUGGUUGAAUGAAGACAAAAUGUGAACAGAAGGCAGCAGCAUAUUGCUGACCAUGACUGAUAAUGGUGUGCAUUGAGUGCUGCAUAAUUUAUACACUAUAUAUAAUAUAACAGGGUUAGAAUUGGUUGACUCCAUAGUGUCAAAUUUUAUAUUAUAAUAGCUCUGAUAAUUGUUAAUUGUAUAUCAACCAAUAUAAUUUAAAUAAUUUAAUAUUAAUCUAUAUCUCUAGUAUAGAAAUUUUAGACUUACUCUAUUAAGGAUACUGUCCACAAGCUUCCUUACUUAUUAGCAUUAAAUGCUCCUUAAGAAACAAACAAAUAAUAAUUAAUUAAUUUACAGAUUUGAUAUCUACUAUAUAAAGGAAACAAUUUGAAAUCAGGAAGGGAAGGGAUAAUACAAUCAAUUUGUACAAUAUUUAGUUUGUGGUGGGGGGUUCUCUUAAGAAUAAAUAAGACGAAUAGAAUCUAAUUCAUGCAAUACACAGACAACUUCUUGCAAGAAAGAAACGAAUGAUGAUAAAUAGAGCGGAUCUAAGAAGUUCUUUUGAAUCUAACCACUCAUCACCUAGUGACCAAAUCCAGAUUCAACAUCCAAAAGAUGAGUGGCUUCCUCUAACUGAAUCUAGAAAUGGUAAUACAUAUUUUGCAGCUUUUCAUCUUCUUAAUUCCAACAUUGCAUUUCAAGCUCUCAUGCUUCCUGUUGCCUUUGCCACUCUUGGUUGGUACGUGUAUUAUUCAACAUUAUUAUAAUUAUUAUUGUAAAUCUCACACACACUUCUUCUAUUUGACAACAAUUUCUUUGGAGUUAGAGCUUUCCUGUAUUUUGGAUACAAAUUUUAACAUCGACGAAUAGAGACUUUGGUCUUCAAUAUCUACUCACGGGUUACAUUUUGCCUUAUAAUUUCAUCAAUGAUUUCAGGGCAUGGGGCAGUGUGUGUUUGUCAAUAGCAUUCAUUUGACAAUUCUAUACCAUAUUUCUCCUAAUUGAACUUCGUGAAUCUGUCUCUGGAAUUCGCCACAGUAGAUACCUCUUCCCAGCAAUGUCUGCUUUUGGUAAGCCCAAUUUCCUUAUUAUUUCUUACUAAUAUGGAACUAUCAUAAGAGCAAAAAUAAUUCACUAUUAUAAAAAAAAUGUUAUUAUCCAUAAUAUGAAUAUGUCUCAACUACAUUAGGUUCUCAUUGUACAUAUAUUUAAUGGUUUGUUGGGUAUCACUAUCCGUCAUGGAAUGAAAAUUUGAAAAUUACUAUAGAUGUAAAGCCAAAAAAUAAAGAACAAUCAGGACUACACAUCAAAAUAAAAGAAAAAAAUGAAUUAAAGCCAAAUUUUGUACUCUUUUAUAAAAUAUUAGUGAAAAUAAAUUAAAAAUAGUUUUUCUAUCCAAAAAUUAGAUAAAAUGUAUAAUUUUAUUUAUGCAUUUUUGUUUUUAUUUUGAAAAUCACCUAUUAGCAAUUCAUAAAUAGUUUAAUUUUCAUGCACAAAUAGUAUAAAUAAAAUUUACAGAUAUAAAAGAGUAGAAAGUUAGCAGUUUAGUUCACAUGUUGAGAAUCACAAAGCGCAAUAUGGAGCAUAAGAAUUGUGAUUUCCAACUAGCAGUGUUCAUCAUCUUCCCAUGCCUCGGUUUAAUCCUAACCUUCAACUACUUCAUCUCAUUCAUCACAUGGAUCUUCAAGAUGUGCCUCCGAUCUGAAAAGCACCUCAUCAAAUCCUACGGUUCAUGGGCUAUAAUCACCGGAGCAACCGAUGGCAUCGGAAAAGCCUUCGCUUACCAACUAGCACACAGAAAUCUCAACCUAAUUAUCGUCAGUAGAAAUUCAAAGAAACUCGAAACAGUUGAAAACGAAAUCAAAACAAAAUACCCUCACGUUCAGAUUAAAACCAUCACUGUGGAUUUUUCCGGCGACAUUACGGUGGGUCUCCGGGAAAUAGAAGUUUUGGGACGUGAUUUGGAUGUUGGAAUUUUGAUUAACAAUGUGGGAAUUACUUAUCCUAAGGCUAUGUUCUUUCAUGAAGUGAAGGAGGAAAUGUGGAUGAAGAUUGUUAGUGUGAACAUUGAAAGUAUGAUGAGAGUAACGAAAGGUGUUUUGUGUGGGAUGAUGGAAAGGAAGAAGGGUAUGAUUGUAAAUGUUGGGUCUGGUGCAGGGGUACUAGUGCCUUCACAUCCUCUGUUUACAAUCUAUGCUGCAACUAAAGCGUAAGCUUUCUUUCUUUCACUGCAAUUAGUUACUGCACACUCUUUUGGUCACUUUCUCUUAAGGGUAGACCAAUGGGAGUGUCUUACACUACAUUGGUGUCACAACAAGAAUCAACCCUCGUGAAGAUCAGUGAUGUUAUCAAUGCUAUUGGGAUUAUUGUGCUUUCCUUCAGAGGUCACAAUGUUGUGCUAGAAAUACAGGCAAGUAAUUAAUAAUAUUAUUAUAUAAUAUUCAAUUGUAUAUGCUUCAUCAUAUCCAAAUUCAACUACAUUUUAUAUAUAAUAUUACUACUAUGAUUAAAAAUUGCAAUAUGAUAUUCUCAUAUAUUAAAACUCUAUUUUGGAUUUUUGUUUCGCAUGGGACACCACCUUCCAAUUUAAAGGAAACAUCAAAAGAAUUGAUGCGUAGAGGAGUGACCAUUUCAUAUAUACUCAUUGCGAUGUGUGUUUUUCCCCUCGCAAUUGUCGGAUUUUUGGCAUAUGGAAAUCAGGCAAGCACACGUGCUAACAAAAAAAUAUUUAUUUCAAACAAUAUUAUUAUAUUUAUAUUAAUGAAUGUACAUUUUUUUUUUUAUAAAUAAAUAACAUUUCAGUUUGCGUAUGAAUGUUUCUUUCAGAUACAUGGUCGAGGAUUGUUAACUGGGUUUCGACAAUUUCACAAAAAUCAAUUAUCAAAAUUCUCAAUGGGUGCAAUAUAUGUUCUAGUGAUAGUACAUUGUUUGUGUAGCUUCCAAGUGUAUGCCAUGCUCGUUUUUGACAACCUAGAAUUAAGAUACACGAGCAUAAAGAAUAAGAAAUGCCCACAAUGGGUGAGAAUAUGCUUGCGAUUAUUCACCCAAAUAGUUCUACGUAAUGAAAUUAUAUGUUAUUUCAUUUAAAAUAUGUUAAAUUGUUAUUUUUUUAGUUAAAAAAUCACUAGGACUAAAACUGUCCAGUUUUAGAAGAGGUAGACCAAUUCUAAGAAUUGGUGAAAAUAAAUAGACAAAAACUAUAAUUAAAUUUAAAAACUAACUAACAAUUCAUGUAAUUAAAAAUCAAAUAAUUAGAAGUUAAAAUGAAUAAUUACAUAAAUAUAAAAAUUUAAAAAUCGUAAUAGUUUUACUAGCAAUGUAAAUUCAUGGAUAUUAUCAUGCCUCCAUUCCCAAGUUUUAAUUUAAAAAAAAAACCACAUUCACAUCUGUUCAAAUUGGAUUUUCUUCGUCAAAAUCAAAACAUGGGUUCAAGUAGAUAUCACUUGUGCAAGUUUUGCUGCAUGUUUAGUUAGAGAAUGCCUUCAAAAGUUUGAGAGUUUAUCGGCAUUUCACAAGGAACAUAUCUAUAUCUAUUAAUUCUUCUAUUAAUUAAUACUAGUAUCAUAUCCAUUAAAGGUGUUCUUAGAUUGGAUUGAUUCGGCUUUGAAAGAAAAAACCAUUUGAUUCACUCUCUUCGAUUUUGUUAUUUAAUCAUUCAAUCGGUUUGAUUUUAAAUUAAAUUUGAUCCAACAAACCACUAAUUAUAUUUAUACAGCACACCAGUAAUUAUGUUUUCACCAAAUUGAAGACACAACACAUUUCCAAGUGUUUAAACAGGCUGCAACUGGAGGAGUCAAAACAGAGUACUUAAUCGGCAUCAGAUUUGUCUAUUUGGUAGUAGGAUUUUUUGAAUUAGGCUAAAAAGUCUACAUAGAAUACGAACAACAAAAUUAGUACACGACUUCGGCCCUAUUUGGGCUUUCGAGUUGGCCCAUAUUUUUUCUUAGAAUAAAAAUAAAAAUAUUACUUGUUAGUAAUUGUUAAUUACAAAAGAUGACAAAAUAUUAUUAAUUAUUUUUGCAUGCAAUAAUUAAUAUAUGUUACAAUUUAAAUAAAAAAUUUAUUAAUACAAUCUAUAAAGACUACUCGAUAACCGUUGGUUAAACCAACUGAUUUAUUUUGAUAGCUGUAGUUACAACCACUUAACUUUUUUCUUGUAUUAUUGAUUGGGCUUUUGAUAACCGUUAGUAUACGAUUCGGCCCUAUUUGGGCUUUUGAGUCGGCCCACAUUUUUUUUUAUAAUAAACAUAAAAAUAUUAUUUGUUGGUAAUUGUAAAUUACAAAAUAUUAAUAUAUUUAUUAAUUAUUUUUACAUACAAUAAUUAAUAUAUGUUAUAAUUUAAAAUUAAAAAAAAUUAUUAUUAAUACAGUCUAUACGGACUACUCAAAAGUCGUUGGUUAAACUGACUAACUCAUUUUGAUAGAUGUAGCUACAACCACUUCACUAGUUUCUAGUAUCAUUUUUUUUUGCUGAUUUUCCUUCAAAAUUUAUUUUGGUCCACUUCACAUAUUUAUUUUCACUAUUCAGACUUACAAAAUUUAUUUUGGUCCACGUAUAUGGAGAAGAAAUUAUAACUGAAGUGUACAAAUGAACUCUAUUGAAAUUUCAUACUUGAGAGUUUAUACAUGAAUUCAGAGAUCGAAAGAUUUUGAUAUAUUUAUUUUAUAAAUAAAUAAAUUAAUGGUUAUUUUUAUAAAUUAAAUAAUUAUUUAUUAAUUUUUAUAUUUUAAAAAUAUUAUUUUAUAAAAAAUAUUAUUUUGAUGAUAAUCAUUAUAUUAAUUAUUUAUAUUUUAUAGUAAAAAUUAUUAAUUUUUAUAAAUUAAUAAUUAUCUUUAUGAAUCAAAGAUCAUUUCACGGCAAUUAUUCAAAACUCCCAAUUUAAUAAUUUUAUUGGGGUGAAAAAUUAAUCAAUGUUUUGAGGCAUACAUACUCAUAUUUUUAUUUGCAUAUGCAGUAUGAACAACAAGGAAGGCCUUUACCCAAGUUCGGGGAAUGGGAUGUGAAUGAUCCUGCUUCAGCUGAAGGAUUCACUGUUAUAUUCAACAAGGCCAGAGAUGAGAAAAAAACUGGUGGAGGAGGAUCGGGCCGAAUUACGUCCCAGCGAAGAUCUAAUUCGCGCAAGGAUGAUGAUAAAUCUUCCAAGGUAACAUAUCAAUUCAAUUGGUCACAUUAAUUUAUUAUCUCUACAAUAACAACCACAAUUUGUUAUGUAGAUGAAUAUCUAAUAGUAUAAUUAUAUAUUUUUGAUGCAGAGAAAGUGGUUUUGCUUUAAACCGUAGAAGACAGAAAAGGAUGUGUGUUCUGCUGCUUAAAAGAUAUAUUGUGUGGUGAUUCCUUUCAGUUUUCUUCUGAGUUGUUCUGAGGCCUCCUCUAUUGCCAAACCACGGAUUAGACAUGAAAAACAAAACAAAUAAUCGUUGUAGUUUCUAGUUUUUUUUUUGUUUUGUUUACUUUUGUUUUUUCUUUGCCACCUAAUACAUAUCAUGGAUCUAUCUAGCUACUUGUAAUAUCUUCCAGCCAAAAGUAAUAAUAUAUAUGUAAAUAGGUGAAACAAUAACUUCGCUCUGCAAAUACAGAAAUCAGAUAUGUUGAUUCUUAAUA